rnacentral:tRNA from 15 species
UCCCGAGUCGUCUAGUGGUAGGACGCUAGAUUCUGGCUCUAGUAACCGGGGUUCGAAUCCCUGCUCGGGAGC